rnacentral:rRNA from 1 species
GAUGAACGCUGGCGGCGUGCCUAAUACAUGCAAGUCGAGCGAACGGACGAGAAGCUUGCUUCUCUGAUGUUAGCGGCUGACGGGUGAGUAACACGUGGAUAACCUACCUAUAAGACUGGGAUAACUUCGGGAAACCGGAGCUACUACCGGAUGAUAUUUUGAACCGCAUGGUUCAAAAGUGAAAGACGGUCUUGCUGUUUCUUAUAGAUGGAUCCGCGCUGCAUUAGCUAGUUGGUAAGGUAACGGCUUACCAAGGCAACGAUGCAUAGCCGACCUGAGAGGGUGAUCGGCCACACUGGAACUGAGACACGGUCCAGACUCCUACGGGAGGCAGCAGUAGGGAAUAUUGCGCAAUGGGCGAAAGCCUGACGGAGCAACGCCGCGUGAGUGAUGAAGGUCUUCGGAUCGUAAAACUCUGUUAUUAGGGAAGAAAAUAUGUGGAAGUAACUGUGCACAUCUUGACGGUACCUAAUCAGAAAGCAACGGCUAACUACGUG